rnacentral:rRNA from 1 species
UUGACCUCAAAUCGGGUGGGACCACCCGCUGAACUUAAGCAUAUCAAUAAGCGGAGGAAAAGAAACUAACUAGGAUUCCCUUAGUAACGGCGAGUGAAGAGGGAAAAGCUCAAAUUUUGAAUCUGGGGUCUUUGACUCCCGAGUUGUAAUCUAGAGAAGUGUUUUCCGUGUCGGACCGUGCACAAGUUCCCUGGAACGGGGCAUCAUAGAGGGUGAAAAUCCCGUAGAUGGCAUGGACUUCCCGAUGCUUUUGUGAUACACUCUCAACGAGUCGAGUUGUUUGGGAAUGCAGCUCAAAAUGGGUGGUAAAUUCCAUCUAAAGCUAAAUAUUGGCGAGAGACCGAUAGCGAACAAGUACCGUGAGGGAAAGAUGAAAAGCACUUUGGAAAGAGAGUGAAACAGUACGUGAAAUUGUUGAAAGGGAAGCGUUUGAAGUCAGUCAUAUCUGGCGGGAUUCAGCCUGGCUUCGGCCUGGUGGACUUCUCGUUUGAUGGGUCAGCAUCAAUUUUGACAGGGGGAAAAAGGCAUGCGGAAUGUGGCUGUCUUCGGGCAGUGUUAUAGCCGUGUGUUGUAUGCCUCUGUUGGGAUUGAGGAACGCAGCGCGCCCUGUGGCCAGGGGUUCGCCUCUU